GAUGAACGCUGGCGGCGUGCCUAAUACAUGCAAGUCGAGCGAACAGACGAGGAGCUUGCUCCUCUGACGUUAGCGGCGGACGGGUGAGUAACACGUGGAUAACCUACCUAUAAGACUGGGAUAACUUCGGGAAACCGGAGCUAAUACCGGAUAAUAUAUUGAACCGCAUGGUUCAAUAGUGAAAGACGGUUUUGCUGUUACUUAUAGAUGGAUCCGCGCUGCAUUAGCUAGUUGGUAAGGUAACGGCUUACCAAGGCAACGAUGCGUAGCCGACCUGAGAGGGUAAUCGGAAACACUGAAACUGAAAAGCGAUCCAGACUCCAAAGGGAGGCAGCAGAAGGGAAAGUUACACAAUGGGCAGAGGCCUGACGGGAAACAGCCACGUGAGUGAAAAGAUGAUUCGGAUCUUGAAACUAAGUUAUUGGGAAAGAACAAAUAUAUAAGUAACAUGGCACGUCUUGACGGUACCUAAUCAAAAAGCAACGGCUAACUACGUG
rnacentral:rRNA from 1 species